rnacentral:rRNA from 1 species
AGUGAACGCUGGCGGUAGGCCUAACACAUGCAAGUCGAACGGCAGCACAGUAAGAGCUUGCUCUUACGGGUGGCGAGUGGCGGACGGGUGAGGAAUGCAUCGGAAUCUACUUUUUCGUGGGGGAUAACGUAGGGAAACUUCCGCUAAUACCGCAUACGACCUACGGGUGAAAGCAGGGGAUCUUCGGACCUUGCGCGAUUGAAUGAGCCGAUGUCGGAUUAGCUAGUUGGCGGGGUAAAGGCCCACCAAGGCGACGAUCCGUAGCUGGUCUGAGAGGAUGAUCAGCCACACUGGAACUGAGACACGGUCCAGACUCCUACGGGAGGCAGCAGUGGGGAAUAUUGGACAAUGGGCGCAAGCCUGAUCCAGCCAUACCGCGUGGGUGAAGAAGGCCUUCGGGUUGUAAAGCCCUUUUGUUGGGAAAGAAAAGCAGCAGGUUAAUACCCCGCUGUUCUGACGGUACCCAAAGAAUAAGCACCGGCUAACUUCGUG